AAUUGCGGGGGGUGGGGGGUCGAGUUCAUUAUGACUAUUUAGCCGCUCGUGCGGUUAAAGAAAAACCUGAAACCAGGAUUGAUUUUAAGGUUGCGUUGUCCCUGUCCCUGCUGUGCCUCAUGAAUUCACUAAGCAGAUUUACAUUAGGCGCAGGUGGUUAGGUCUGGUGCUCCCCCUACCCAGCGCGCAGAGUGGCUGUGCCCGGAGGUCCCGCCCCCGACCACGUGGGCCACGCUUCCCGCUGCUUGCGGGAGGUUUGUUCUGGGAGCGGAGUGGCCUGCGGUUUGGAGCUCGCAGAGGGGUCGUCCGCUGCUCCGUGGCCGCGUCUCCACCCCGUUCCCGGGCCGGCUUCCAGGCACCAUGGCAUCCCGCGGGAGGAAGCGGAAGGCCGAGGCGGCGGUGGUCGCGGCAGCUGAGAAGCAGGAGAAGCUGGCUGGCGGCCAGAAGGAGGUGGAGGAGGCGACGGUCGUUAUCGAGCAUUGCACGAGUUGACGCGUGUACGGGCGCAACGCCGCGGCCCUGAGCCAGGCGCUGCGCCUGGAGGCCCCGGAGCUCCCGGUGAAGGUGAACCCUGCCAAGCCCCGGAGGGGCAGCUUCGAGGUGACGCUGCUGCGCCCGGACGGCAGCAGUGCGGAGCUCUGGACUGGGAUUAAGAAGGGGCCCCCACGCAAACUCAAGUUCCCUGAGCCGCAGGAAGUCGUGGAGAAGCUGAAGAAGUGCCUUCCGUAGGAGGCUCGGGCCGAAAUCCUCAUGCUGAGCUUUCUGUUCCUGGUGGUGAUGGAACAUUUAUGACGGGACAUGGCCAAACUACAGUUAUGUGCCUGAAGCUAUAGUUUCUUCCCCUGCAGAAUUGAUGGUUCAGUUGUGAGGCAACACUCCACACCGCUUCACACCUUCUGGAACAUUUUCUCUGACAGAACUACUGCAGAGGAUGUACUUAAUUUUUCCUGAAUUCUCUGUGUGUCAUAACCUGGAAGACCUGGCCUUGGCUGUUACCUAUGAACUACUAAAGUUGAAAACCUCAUAGUUUAUUAUUCUACUUAUUUGUAACUGGGAAGUAGAUUAAAAGGAACGAAAAAGGUUCAAGUUCAUAAUUUUCUACCCAUGGUACUAAAUUUCUGCCCAGCUCCCAAAACCUGGGGAGGGGAAAGCAUGGCCUAAGGAGAACAAGGGGAAUGCCUGCCUCUCGUGCUGAGAGGGCAGACAUGUGCUAGCUUCUCUGCCAAUAUCACUUUUGCUAGCCAACAUUUCCCAUCCUCCCAGUGCCCCUAAACUGCCUUCCCUAUCCACUAGGUUAGUAUAUCUACCUCUGUUUCUGACUCUGAGGAAGCGUCUGGCCAUAUGGAGGGAAUACUGGUAGGUACUAGGUUCCCCUCUGCUAUCCAGUCUACCACAUCAAUCUCUUCCUCUUCAGAGCUGGCAGAAGGUAGGUCUAACAGCUCAGAGUUGCUAAGUACCUCCUUGCCUGGUUCUGGGGCAGGGUAUAACACCUCUUCCAUAGUUAGGGAUACUUCCAGCCCUGUCUCUACCCAGUUAGAACAGGGAGGUAAGAGGUCCCCAUAGGACCUUUGGGGAAGGUCAAGGGAGUCAAUGUGAAGAAGUUUGUCCCCCUGACCAUCCAGUGGCAUGGAACUGGUAAUUUCUUGGUCUUGAUUCCAAGAGUGUCCUACAGAAAGCAUCUCCCCUUCACUAAUCUUAGAGGGCAUGACAAGGGGGCUAAAGGGUUCAAUUGGCUCUUUGUUCUCACCCACAGGUUCCUUUUCUAAUCCAGUUAGCUCUCUGGGCCAGAGUUCCAUUCCUGGUAAAUACCAUCCUUCCCCUUCCAUCCAAUUCUUCCCUGUUUCUGUCAAGUGAUAACUAGGGGUCCUGCAGCCCUCAGCUUCAGGACUCUCCAGAGAUACUGUAGGUGGCUCAAUGUCUGGGCCACAUAGCAUGAAGUCCAGGAUCUCCUCCAGCUCACUGGUGGCAGCAACACUUGUGAUUCGGUAUUCCUCGGCUUCACAGGGCUGUUCUAGCAGGGCUGUGUCAAAUGCAUAUGGCUCUGUGCAGUCAAUAUCGAAUCCAGGUUCCUUCCCUACCAGCUCUGGACUGGAUCCAAACUCAGACUUCACUACUGGGUGGUCUGGGGAGCGGCUAGCAGAGAGCAGAAUGUCUUGUAGCUUACAGGACACAGGGGAAUCCUGACACAGGUCUAUUCUAGUAGAUGACAUUUCCUGCUGGUUAACUGAGGAUGGCUGAAUUCCUGGAGGCUCUUCUGAGUCUCCAGGUUCUGGGACAUGAGGGCUAUCUUUAGAGGUUUUGAGGGGAGGUUCUUGUACCACUUCCCAGCAGGUCCCAUUAACAGUCUUCCUAAGCUUCACUCUCCCAACCUGCCCCUCUUCUGCAGAGUCUAAGUUAGGUGCCCUGACUUCAGGGCUCCAUUUCUUACUCCCACCCAUUUUUCCAAGGCCAGAUGGGCUUGAGGUGCUUUGUAGAGGACUAGCUCUCCCUGGUGUGUGCUUGUCCUCUAGCACUUCUUUCUUUAUACUCUUUUGUCGCCAAAGACGCCGGCCAGGGGUUGCUGGCACUGAGCUGGAUCCACUUAAAAUGCUGGAAGGCUUGGAUGUACAGACAUCAGGUGAUGGCUUUGAACGACUCAGCCUGAUCUUUCUGGGCAACAGUCGCUUAUCCACAGAGGGGUACAAGCUGGGUGGGGAAAGCUCUGUAGGACCAAGGGCAGGGUCACUCUUACUUUCUUUAGAUCCCUGACUGUGGCUUGAUGGCGAAGAGCUUUCUUCUUCCGGAACUGGGCAGGCUCUGGCCUUCCUCUUGAGCAGGAGCGUGCCAGAUAAGUCCCCUGCAUUCUGUCGGUUGCUCUUGUCCUGGGGCCCUUCGUCCUUCCCUGACAACUUCAAUCUCACUGCCCCACGAGGACAAGGAGUCUGGGUAACGGGCAGUGGAGUAGGGCAGUGGCUGGAUGCCACCACCCUGGCAGAGAUUGGUGCGGCACUUGGAGGUUGUAAGCACUCCCGGUUCAGUCUUCGGCCCUGAGGGGCCUUUACUAGCUUCCCCCCUUCUAGCUGAAGGGAUUCCAGCUCAGAUAUGCAGAGCUGACGGGCAGCAGAAAGCACCUCUUGGGCUUCUUCCAGAGAUACUUCCAUUUCUGAGGUAUACAGGAAGUCCACCAGCUUCCUAAGUGUUGUGAUCUUCAGGCCCCCCAGCUCCAGCACCACCUUACAACCCUGAGCUGGCCUCUCCUGCUCCAGGCGCUUUGUGAAGAAGGGGCUGCAGGCAGACAGGAUACAGCAAUGGGCUGGGACUACCUCACCUGGGGGGAAACCCAAACACUUGGUUAUCUCACGCAGGCUGGCAUGUUCAUGAGCUAAGCACAGAUACUACUACUGAAAUGGUUGCCCCUUCUCUCAGUUUCCCUCCAUGGAAGUUCAAGGUGCCUUCCUGGAACCUUGAGCUAUUACUUAGCUAACUAAAAAUCUAGUUUGGACAUUACUUUUUUCAAAAAGCCUUCCCCCUUUCUACCCCAUGUGUGGGUUUGGUGCUCCUGAACACAGAGAUGUAUUCUGCAGCUAUCAUAGAUAGCACUUAGCAAUCUGUAUUGUCCACCUUCACAAUGUAAGGACCAGCUGUCUUACUGCAGUACACCUAAUGCUCGACAGAGUAGGAGAUCAAAUACUUGCUGAAUAAAUUUUUGUGACUCACACAAAUGUAGAAAAAUUAUAGAAGCUGCUUGUGGUCUAAUAGAAAGGGCAUGACCUUUGGAUAUGUACACUCAGAGCUCAAUUCUCUCCUGAGCUCUAUCUACUGCCUAAUAGGCAGUGGUCUGUCCUGAGCCACCUUCUCACUUUAUGGGCACUUCCUGGGCAAUCUCAGUCUCCAAUGGCUUCAAAUACCAAAGGCUUGCCAAUGACACCACCAAAAAUGUUUAUUUCAAAAUAAAGUAUCACAUUCACCCAGUUGUUCAAACCUGAGCACUAGACAUUACCUUUCAUUCUUCCUUUUCCCCUACCUACUGCAUUUAAUCAGUUUUUUAAAAAUAUAUUUUUAUUGAUUUCAGAGAGGAAGGGGAGAGAUAGAAACACCAAUGAUGAGAAUCAUUGAUUGGCUGCUUCCUGCACACCCCUUACUGGGGAUCAAGCCCGAAACCCGGGCAUGUGCCCUUGAUCGGAAUCGAACCUGGACUCUUCAUUCCACAGGUCAAACAACAAAACCAACAAUUUCAAGAUAAGAGUAAAAAAAGCAACAGGUUGGCAAGAAAAAGGGAAAAUAUGUAAUAGUAUCAUCUAACAUAUUAAAAGCACUUUUCUAAGUGCUUUACAUGUUAACUAAAUAUUCACAACCAUCCCAUUAUAUUAUUCAAGUUUUAUAGAAUUUCUACACUUAAAGAAACUUUACAAUUACUAUUUUUUGGUUAAUCCUCACCUGAGGGUAUUCUUCCAUUGAUCUUUCAGAGAGAGUGGAAGGGAAGGAAAGACAGACAGAAACACAUUGAUUGGUUGCCUCCUGCAUGUGGGCCAGGGAGGAGCCUGCAACCGAGGUAUGUGCCCUUGACCAGAAUUGAACCUGGGACCCUUUGAUCUGCAGGCUGAUGCUCUAUCCACUCAAACUGGCUAGGGCUAAUUUUAUUUUUUCAGAAAAAAAUGUCUCAUUUUCACUCUUGCAAAUAUAACUGUCCGAGAAAACAAACAGCUCUUUACCAAAUAGCUUACAGUGCUCAAAGGCAAGAACACUUUUUCCCCCCUGGUUUUGUCCUCCUCUCCCUGGUUCUAAAGUCUUUUUUAUCUUAUUCUAUGGUGAGUUUUCAAUUGAGUCCCCACUACAGUAAGUUCUCAAUGUCAUUGAUAGGUUUUUAGAAACUGCAACUUUAAGCGAAAUGACUAUAAAGAAACUAAUUUUACCGUAGGCUAAUGAUGUAAACGAGUUAAGUUCCUAAGCAUAUUUCUGGUCACAAAAAUGUCACCAAGCUAUUAAAUAAGGAACAACCAAAACACUUACAGUAUUAAACAUUGUAAUAAAUGUGAGGUAUAUGUACAGUUAACAACGAUUAAUAAAAGCAAGUCAGAUAAUUAUUUUCCAACCUGCUUAUUCUACUUUAGGGUUGUAGGUGGCCAAAGCCUAUAAGGCAGCUCAAGGCAGGAACCAACCCUGGACAAACACCCUUCCCUUAUAGGGUGCACUCACAAACAUACUCUUAUACCCACUCAGACUGGGACAACUCAGACAUGCUAAUUCACCUAACAGACACAUCUUUGGGAUGUGGAAGGAAACUAGUACCUGGGCAUGGGGAGAAAGUGCAAGAUCCACACCCACAGUGGUCCUAUCUAGGAAUCAAUAUUAUUUUCCUCAUUAAUGUAAUAAAGCAACAUUG